rnacentral:rRNA from 1 species
UACGUAGGGUGCAAGCGUUGUCCGGAAUUAUUGGGCGUAAAGAGCUCGUAGGCGGUCUGUCGCGUCUGCUGUGAAAACUCAGGGCUUAACCCUGAGCUUGCAGUGGGUACGGGCAGACUAGAGUGCGGUAGGGGAGACUGGAAUUCCUGGUGUAGCGGUGAAAUGCGCAGAUAUCAGGAGGAACACCGGUGGCGAAGGCGGGUCUCUGGGCCGGUAACUGACGCUGGAGGAGCGGAAAGCAUGGGGAGCGAACAGG